rnacentral:rRNA from 1 species
GACGAACGCUGGCGGCGUGCUUAAUACAUGCAAGUCGAACGGAAAGGCCCUGCUUUUGUGGGGUUCUCGAGUGGCGAACGGGGGAGUAACACGUGAGUAACCUGCCCUUGACUUUGGGAUAACUUCAAGAAACUGGGGCUAAUACCGGAUAGGAGCUCCUGCUGCAUGGGGGGGGUUGGAAAGUUUCGGCGGUUGGGGAUGGACUCGCGGCUUAUCAGCUUGUUGGUGGGGUAGUGGCUUACCAAGGCUUUGACGGGUAGCCGGCCUGAGAGGGUGACCGGCCACAUUGGGACUGAGAUACGGCCCAGACUCCUACGGGAGGCAGCAGUGGGGAAUAUUGCACAAUGGGCGGAAGCCUGAUGCAGCAACGCCGCGUGCGGGAUGACGGCCUUCGGGUUGUAAACCGCUUUCGCCUGUGACGAAGCGUGAGUGACGGUAAUGGGUAAAGAAGCACCGGCUAACUACGUG